AGUACCGUGAGGGAAAGGCGAAAAGAACCCCGGCGAGGGGAGUGAAAAAGAACCUGAAACCGUGUACGUACAAGCAGUGGGAGCACGCUUAGGCGUGUGACUGCGUACCUUUUGUAUAAUGGGUCAGCGACUUAUAUUCUGUAGCAAGGUUAACCGAAUAGGGGAGCCGAAGGGAAACCGAGUCUUAACUGGGCGUUAAGUUGCAGGGUAUAGACCCGAAACCCGGUGAUCUAGCCAUGGGCAGGUUGAAGGUUGGGUAACACUAACUGGAGGACCGAACCGACUAAUGUUGAAAAAUUAGCGGAUGACUUGUGGCUGGGGGUGAAAGGCCAAUCAAACCGGGAGAUAGCUGGUUCUCCCCGAAAGCUAUUUAGGUAGCGCCUCGUGAAUUCAUCUCCGGGGGUAGAGCACUGUUUCGGCAAGGGGGUCAUCCCGACUUACCAACCCGAUGCAAACUGCGAAUACCGGAGAAUGUUAUCACGGGAGACACACGGCGGGUGCUAACGUCCGUCGUGAAGAGGGAAACAACCCAGACCGCCAGCUAAGGUCCCAAAGUCAUGGUUAAGUGGGAAACGAUGUGGGAAGGCCCAGACAGCCAGGAUGUUGGCUUAGAAGCAGCCAUCAUUUAAAGAAAGCGUAAUAGCUCACUGGUCGAGUCGGCCUGCGCGGAAGAUGUAACGGGGCUAAACCAUG
rnacentral:rRNA from 1 species